rnacentral:rRNA from 1 species
AUUGAACGCUGGCGGCAGGCCUAACACAUGCAAGUCGAGCGGCAGCGGGAAAGUAGCUUGCUACUUUUGCCGGCGAGCGGCGGACGGGUGAGGAAUGCCUGGGGAUCUGCCCAGUCGAGGGGGAUAACUACUGGAAACGGUAGCUAAUACCGCAUACGCCCUACGGGGGAAAGCAGGGGACCUUCGGGCGCUGCGCGAUUGGAUGAACCCAGGUGGGAUUAGCUAGUUGGUGAGGUAAUGGCUCACCAAGGCGACGGUCCCUAGCUGGUCUGAGAGGAUGAUCAGCCACACUGGAACUGAGACACGGUCCAGACUCCUACGGGAGGCAGCAGUGGGGAAUAUUGCACAAUGGGGGAAACCCUGAUGCAGCCAUGCCGCGUGUGUGAAGAAGGCUUUCGGGUUGUAAAGCACUUUCAGCGAGGAGGAAAGGUUGGUAGCUAAUAACUGCCAGCUGUGACGUUACUCGCAGAAGAAGCACCGGCUAACUCCGUGCCAGCCGCCGCCGUAAAAC